ACAUAACUGAUGCCUCCGCGUAUCGACUUUGUGCGCAUUUUAGCUAUUAUGUGUUCUUUUAAUUAAAAUGAUUCUUUUUAAGAUUCAUCUUAUUAAAGAUUUGCUUCUGCAUAAUUUUUUUUGAUGAUCUUGUUACUUUGAGUAAAUUAGAGUGUUCAAAGCAAACAGAUAUAGCAUUUGUGCGUUUGAAUACUACAGCAUGGAAUAACAAAAUUGAACAAGUCAGAAUUUUUUUGUUCUUUUUUCUUAUUUUGGCUUAGUUACGAUUAAUAGGAGUAGCUUGGGGGCAUUUGUAUUCAGAUGUCAGAGGUGAAAUUCUUAGAUUUUCUGGAGACAAACAACUGCGAAAGCAUUUGCCUAAAAUACUUCCAUUAAUCAAGAACGAAAGUUAAGGGAGUGAAGACGAUCAGAUACCGUCGUAAUCUUAACCAUAAACUAUGCCGACUAGGCUUUGGAUGAAAGAUUUUAAAAUAAGAGUUUUUCUUUUCUCUCCGGAGAUUAGAACUCUUAGAUUGCUUCCUUCAGUGCCUUAUGAGAAAUCAAAGUCUUUGGGUUCUGGGGCGAGUAUUCGCGCAAGCGAGAAAGUUAAAAGAAUUGACGGAAGGGCACCACCAGGCGUGGAGCUUGCGGCUUAAUUUGACUCAACACGGGAAAACUCACUAGUUUAAGACAAGAGUAGGAUUGACAGAUUAAUAGCUCUUUCUUGAUUUCUUGGAUGGUGAUGCAUGGCCGUUUUUAGUUCGUGAAUAUGAUUUGUCUGGUUAAUUCCGAUAACGAACGAGAUCUUAACCUGCUAAUUAGCGGCAAAUACGAUAUAUUCUUAUGUAGAAUUGAAUAUAGUGGAUUUGUUAGAUUUUGAAGAAAAUAUUGGAAUUACGUUAAAUGUGAUUCCUUUCCCUUUUCUACUUAAUUUACAUUUCCAUCUAUUUCUUUUUUGCGUAUGAAUGUAUUUGCUUGAUUGUAAAGCUUCUUAGAGGAACGAUGUGUG
rnacentral:rRNA from 1 species